GUGAGCCGCCCGAAGGCGAUGACCGUUUUCUGGUCCUCGAUGGCACAGAGCAUGACUGCACGACCAAUGAAGGGAAUGUUGACUGGCCCAGUCACUAUUCUUAACUGGUCUUUUGUCAGGAACGACCAACCGAGAUCCGAAACAUGCUAUCAGAUCGCUCUUGCAAUAAAGAAAGAAGUUGAAGACUUGGAAGCAGCUGGUAUCCAGGUGAUCCAAAUAGAUGAAGCAGCACUUAGAGAGGGUUUGCCGCUUCGCAAGUCUGAGCAGGCUUUCUACUUGGACUGGGCUGUCCACUCCUUUAGGAUCACUAACUGCGGUGUGAAAGACACAACACAAAUUCACACCCACAUGUGCUACAGCAACUUUA
rnacentral:misc_RNA from 1 species